rnacentral:lncRNA from 1 species
AUGGGCUUCAAGAAUAUACUGAUUGUGCUACUGGUUUUUACGUGUGUGGUUCCCGAAAAAAGGGCCAUGCAGGUUGCCGGCUUUCAUCCGGGAGACCACAUUGGAAAUUUAGCUACGCGGCGCAUGAAUUGGGUUCGGACCGUCAGACAGAAAAUCCUCGCCAUGGACAAGUGCAUGUCGUGGUGCGGUUGGGCCAUGAGCAGAAGGGUGCUGCAGGAAAGGCAAAGGAACAUCAACUAUUCCUGCCAUAUGGCUUUUCAGGCAUUUAGGGAGUUUUUCCCCUCUAAUCAGCUGGGCGCCUGUGCUGGGAUCAUCGACACCUGGUGCCGCUACCACAAUGAUCAGUACCAGUGCGUUGGAAUGAACAAGGACACCCGCCAAACCUUCUCACUCUGGGAAUGCGUCCACAGUAUCGACAUAGGGUUUCCAGGACACUAGUACCAACACCUGCACGUUAUCAACAAAGAGAAAAGAGAGUUCCCAUUGAAUAGGGACAGCGUGACCACCAAAUCUUCCCGCGCUUUUUUCCAGCCAAUUAGACACCCGACGACCACUUUUAAUUUCUCAUUGAAAGUAACAUGGAAAAUUGAAACUAUAUAUUUUUUUCGAAUUCAGUGAAUUCUUAAGCAUUAAAAUGUUUACGAUUGACUUCUCGAGCGUUUGGCGUUUCUAGUGAUGUAUGAUACGUUCGUUCUGUUCUCUCCAAAAAACACCAUGGAUGUGUAUUUUUGAAAUUUUAAUUUUCCCCCACUCGAGUCGAUUAUUCGACUGUCCCGUUAGCUCUUUUCGUCAAAAGCAUCGACUCGAGUAAGGGAAAAUUAAAUUGUCCAGAAUCAAGAUAAUUGGUGUUUUUUGGAGAGAACAGAUCGUAUCAUACUUCACUAACGCCAAACGCUCGAGAAGUCAAUCGUGAACAUUCUAAUGCCGAAAAAUUGACUGGAUUCGAAAAUAAUACAUAGUUUCGAUUUCCCAUGUUAUUUUAAAUAAGAAAUUAAAAAGUGAUCGUCGUGUAUCUGAUAGGCUGGACAAAAAGCGCGGGGAGAUAUCUGGCGGUCACACACUUUCCCUAUUCCAUGCUGGCUUUUGUUUCUUCUUCGGUUGAAAACUACUCUACACUUGACCAUGCUAGUGCAAUGGCCAAAUCUUUAAGCGAUUACAAAAUUCCUGCAUUGCUGCUAUGCCUGCAAAAUUACCAGUACCCCUGUCGUGACAGCGAAGACAGAAGUAAAGGCAAAAAUGAACAGUUUUGAGAGAACGGGCUCAGAAGCUUCUGGCCGGAAAAUUUUAUUGAUAGAAACCUCCAUUCUUUGUCAAUUUGCCAAUAAUCGUCAACGAGACUCCUAGAAAUUGCUUGGAUUUCUAAUGAAAUCAACCGAUUUUAUUUCAACUGCAUAAAAAGGGUAUUUUUCAUUUUCAUGUUAGGCUAGUGCUUGGCAUGGUAGCCGUAAGUGCUAUCUUCUGCAUACUUUCGAGGUUGCAUUUUGGGCACACAACAGACACAUUUUCAAGGUAGAAAUUAGCAGAAGAAGGCGGCACUGUACUGGAAAGCACAGUUUUCAUUGGCUCUCUGGAGAAAUAAUGUCACUUAUUGCUGUAUUCCGUGAAACGACGUCAUUUUUUCCGCACUAACGACUUCCUCGUAUGUCUCGUUGUCAUGCAAUUAAGAUGAAUUUUGUCAUUUCGGCUAUUUAAAUGCUUUCGUCUUAAAGAGAUUAGACGAAUUUCAAAGGAAACUAGAUUUCGAAAGUUUGACACUCACGGUGCUCUUCGCCAUCACGGUAGAACAGUGCACCACUACGGCCACGGGCCGUAUAACCAUCGGAAAAUGAUUUCCUGAAGUACAGCAGUCAUUCAGUUAUCCUUUCUCCAUUCUUGAAAUUCCCAGGGCCCUCGUCUCGAAUUUUUCCGCGAAAACGGUUCCACAGUGAAAAAUUUUGUCACGUACUGUCGAGUCAGACGUUACGCGGGAUUCCUCUAAAUGUCACUCUUUAACGUUGAAACUCCAAACGCAGAGGGAAAAAACCAAGGAAACGAAAAUAUGUCAACUGUAAGGGUGGAUGUAGGCGUAAUAACUCCUACAGUCAACAUUUAUUUCCGUUUGAGAAUCCAUACCUUGUCAGAAAUACCUAGGAUGUAUCAAUUUAUAAAAAAUCAUUAAUAAAAGCCAUUUUACAAAUCAUAGUCUUCGUAUUUUUCCACCGUCCUUGCUUUGACUUCAGCAUAAAACCAACCUCAGAUUUGAAUUUCUCUGAUUAUAGUACCAGAAUUCCGUGAACAUGCGUUUCUAAGCAGCGAUUUUACAAACUAU